CAUCUUACUAGACAGUGCUGGAUUUAUUUUAUCUUUUCUAACACUGUCUGGUAACGAUGUU
rnacentral:pre_miRNA from 2 species